rnacentral:tRNA from 1 species
GGAGAGGUGGCUGAGUGGCUGAAAGCAGCAUCCUGCUAAGAUGCUGAGGGAGCAAUCCCUCCGAGGGUUCGAAUCCCUCCCUCUCCG